rnacentral:lncRNA from 1 species
GCCGACACAGGUGGGGUGGCUGGUCCCCCUCUGCCUCUGCUAUGCUGUCCAGGGUCACCUGUGCACAAGGCCUGCCCUGAAUGACCUUGGGGUUCACAGACCCCCCUCCCCAGUGGACCCCCCUAGGGCACCCAGGCCCCAGCACGGACCCCAAGGGUCAGCCUGGGUUUGUCUCUGCUUCUCUCCUAGUGCCAGGUGGAGCUGAGUGAACACUGCAUGCUGUCCACUUGGGCAGCUGCCGGGGGAUGUGCACCUGGUCUCUAGGCUGCGGAGGGAGGAAGACCUGCCACACGCUGUCCACUCUGACAGCUGCCAGGCGAUGUACACCUAGUCUCUAGGCUGCAGAAGGAGGAAGACCUGCCACACGCUGUCCACUCUGACAGCUGCUGGGGGAUGUGCACCUGGUCUCUAGGCUGCGGAGGGAGGAAGACCUGCUGCACGCUGUCCACUCUGACAGCUGCCAGGCGAUGUACACCUAGUCUCUAGGCUGCAGAAGGAGGAAGACCUGCCGCACGCUGUCCACUCUGACAGCUGCCUGGGGACUUGCACCUGGUCUCUAGGCUGCAGAGGCAGGAGGACCUGCAGCUGCACGGGAUGAGGGGGCAGGCACAGGAGUAGUCAGGGUACCUCUCCCUGUGGCUGGGGGUUACCUUGGGGCUACACUAGGAGAUGAUGGAAGUUUCUCCCAAACCUAAGGGCUAAGAGUCCUGUGAGUAGGAAAGGAGCUGUGCUUACAGAUUAAAUGUGCUGCAGACAGCCAGGACCUGCGCACCUUGGGAAUCCCAUCCACACCAGCGGAGUGAGCGCACUUCCUUCUAUUUAGCCAUAGGUCUCAAUCUCCACCCCCUUACGUAAAAUCCCAGAGAUAACCCCCACCACAGGCACUGAAGAAAGCAGAAGUAAGUUCCUGGGAUAGGAAGGAGAGGACAGAACUCAUUUCCACAGAGCGCCAGAGAAGAGCCCCGUCUGAAAAUCCCUGUGGUCGUACCACAGACACCAGGACUUUCCUCACACCCGGAGAGGCUGGAUCAGUUGUGGAGGGCUGACCUGGAAGUGCCUCCUUACCACGCCCUGGGAGAGAUGAUUCAGAGUUAUUCCUGAAUAAGAGGCUUAAGAACAGGACUUCAUGUCUGAACUCUCCUACAGCAUCCUAAUCCUGUGUUCCCUCCAGCAAGGUCACCUGGCUGGCAGUCACACGGCCGUGACACAGAUUGCCCCUGCCUGGUGACCCCCAUCUGCUGGGAAACCCAGGGACACCAGUGGCACAUGGCCCGGCCUGACCCAGCGUGCAGAAAUGACACCCCCAAGGCUCCAGGGUCUGGGUCCUGUGUGGGCAGUUGAACAGUUGCCUGGGAAUAAAAUGCUAUACCCAGAAGGUUCGGGCAGGGCUGUGCUGCUGUGGAAUCUUGGAGUGGGGGGACACAGGCCGCCAGGCACCUCACCUGUGUUCUGAGGUCUGUGAUGGUCUUCUGCAUUUCCAGAACAAACUCUCUGAAGUCAUUUGUCCCAGAUGCAUCUGAGCGUGUGCUGAAGGCUGAGGUGCUGUUGCUGAGAUGUUCCCCCUGUCUCCCAACACUGUGGUGAGGGGAAAGGAGGAGGAGGGAAAUAUAACCUUGGCAGGUCACGCCGGGUCUCAUUUCAAGGUUUCCUGGGUGUGCACCGCCCCUGAUGCUCUGAGCUGGGUCUCAUUUCAAGGUUUCCUGGGUGUGCACCGCCCCUGAUGCUCUGAGUGGGCAGCACAGCAGGACGCAGGCUGCGGCCUGGCCCCCAGUGCCCUGGGACGUCCCUGCCAGGAACCAUCCUCGCCACAGGCCCACAGCAGGAUGCCGGUCCUACUGCCCGACGCCCGCGGUGCGAGGGCCCCUCUGCACAUCAUUUGACCUCAGAGACCACCAUACCUGGGUAUUUUCCGUGGUCUUGUUUUCUUGGUCGGCUUGUCCUCCUGGUAGCUGAACUCAAGAGACCGUCUGCCUCGGAAAUGAUAGGAAAAGGCAUUGAACUGCCCCCUGGUCCUACAGUCUAAAAUGGAAGCACAAAGCAGAAUGUCAGCUCUGAAGGCUCUGACCUCGGGGAAAUUAAGCACAUCCUGCCAACUAUGAAGUCUUCACUGGCUGCCCGUGGAACAAACUGUGGCACAUUUCAGUGAGGCAACCUGGCAGCUGGUCUGCGGCUCUUACCCUCUCCUGGUCUGAGGGGCCAAGCCUCUCUCCACCUGUGCCCCAGCCCUCAUGACCUCCUGGUGCUGGCCGCCCUGAGGACAGCUGGGCACACUGAGGAGGCUCACCACGCCAUCUAACCACACCCUCGCGGAGUUCCCUCCACCCACAGAUGGAGGCUCAGGCACUCUGCCUCGGAGAUCAGAGUCUGCUGUUUCUGGGGGUCCCUCCCCGAUGGCCAGAUGACAAUCUGCACUCUGGAGUGCCUUAAAAUUAUGCUACACUCCCUACGUCACACUGCCAGCCCCAGUGUCAGACAAGAGGCGGCCUGACCCUGCUUCUCCUGAAUGUAGCCCAAACACCUCCCUGCCUAGGAGUGGCUUCCUUCUCAACCUGUGGUGGACUGAGAAGCCCUCAGUGCUAUGCCUCACCUGAGCCCCGGUUUUCAAGAUUAGGAUGACAUCUGCAGGUCAUUAAGCACCCGCCAAGCAGUCACCAAAACCAGGGAUGAAAAAGGAACAGACAUGGUGCCCCUGGCACGCACCUUCACAGCAGUCCUGCCACACCCGGAGGUCUACCCUGGGGAUCUCGUCACAGCUGCCGUAGCCGUGAGGGAACUCCGCCACCCUGAACACGUCGCUCUGCACCCGGGUGAUGUUGUCCGCGUUGUCGCAUAGGAUCCUGGCCAGCGACGUCUGCUUGAUCUGAGUCAGCUGGGCCGGGGAGAACACCCCAGGGUUCUCAUACCACAACCUGGAUCCCCCAAAAUGAAAGCAGGAUCAGAGAAGGGCAGGAGACUCACAGGUCACUAGGAGCUGAGUUAAAAUCUCCCCUGCUUAGUUCACAGCAAUACAGAAACCACUAGGUUUGAUUAGGUGUCACUUAAAAAUGGACUCACACACUGCUCACAUCCCCUACCCCAUAACAAAACCAAAGGCAGACAAUCUGGUGUAAAAAUGACAGUGUUGGCCAGGUGCAGUGGC